CUCUGAAUGCCCCAACUCCCCUAGCUCUAUGCUCCUAUCCCCCUCCUCGUUAAGAAGAUCCCGAAAGUACGCCUGCCACCUCUGUUUGAUUUGCGAUUGCCCCGUCAGAACUCUACCAUCCUCAGCCUUGAUACACCUGACUCGGUCUAGAUCACGGGCCUUCCUCUCCCUUGCUUUUGCCAACCGGAAUAACUUCUUAUCCCCACCCCUCUCCCCUAGUUCCUCGUACAUGCGACCGAACACCGCGUUUUAGCUUCCGUGACUGCCAUCUUAGCUUCUCUUCUCGCCUCCCUGUAAACCAACCUGUUCGCUCUCCGCUCCUCCUCGCUCGUGCUCCCUGCCAACCUAGCGAACGCCGCCUUCUUCACCUCCACUUUUCCUUUGACUACCCCGUUCCACCACCACUCACCCUGAUGUCUGCCUGAAUAUCCCUUAGUUACCCCGAGCACGUCCCGUGCAGCCCCCCUAACCAAGUUCGCCCAAAAAUUUUCGUAAUCGGAUAUCACAUCGAAUCGCAACUUAGAGUGAACCCGACAUCGUGAAGAGUGAAAGAAAAUGGGAGAACGGAUCUGGAAAGCGAACACUAAAUCGUGAAGAGCGGAGACUUCUAUGUAGGCGGAAAUUUCGUUCUUAUUUCCCGUUCUUUCAUGUGUGUGCCCUAAAUCUCGUUCAGG
rnacentral:lncRNA from 1 species